GGGAGGGACGGGGAGGCAGGAAUCAGGAGGAGCCUCUGACGGCCCUGGGAUCAGCAGGUGGUUUGGAGGAGGUGAUUCUUGGGGAGACCUGGCACACUUGUGAAUAGCUCUGUGAACAGCCAUGGGGGCCGUGAGCCACUGGGGACCAGCUGGAAGGGCCUUCAUUCCUCUCUCAACACCUGGGAACUGAGGCAGGACCCACGGUCCUGGGACGAGGUCUGGAAGCGCAGACCGGAAAGCUGAACAUUCCAGCAGACUCUCUUCCUGGGCUAGAAGUUUGGAUAUCCUUGGAGGCACUCAGAUUAAGUAAAAUUCCAAUUUGAAAAAUACCAGUCUCUUCUGGACAUUCCAAGAGGAGAGGGUCCAUUUCGCACUUCGGUCCUGGGGACGUGUCUAGCCAGCAGGUGUGGGGAUGAU
rnacentral:lncRNA from 10 species